GCGGGGAUCGCAGCGAGGGGCACCGUGACAGAGCAGCGCUGCGGGCCCUCCCCCCGGGCCGCGCCGGGGCGGGGCGAGUGACUGACAGGGUAAAGCCCUAGGGACCAAGCUCCCCAGCAUCAUCCUGGACCACUUCUUCCUGAUUUGACAGCCCAGCUUGGAGGGGAGGAUCCAGCUGUUCACCUGAAUCCUCAGGUUCAUACUGAAGCAGCCCUCACUCAGCUCUGGUAGAAGUCUGACAUCCUGAUCAAUCCUUCCCCUCCAGCAGGAUGUCAGGUAUUUUAUGCAAGGGUCUCGGCUGGCAGCAAAUUAAUUUCCUAGCCUUCAAAUUAUCUUCAAUGGUAAUGAGCCACUAAAGUCAAGGGAAGAGUCACAGAAGACAAAAUCAUCUUAGGGGCUGCACUGGGUCCUCCACCAGCCUGAACUCGUGUAAGCAAAGCCAGUCUCCUCUGCAGAGUUGCUCGCCCAAGGAUGGCAGCAGCCAGCAAGGCCUCCACAGAGGUGCCAUAGCUCGCUGACACCGUGGAGCAUCACCUUCACAGCAACAGACUGUCCUCUUGGCAGGGCUCAGGGCUGUCCUCCUCAGCAGAAACAAGUCCUGGGAUGCAGCUCAGGACAGGACACACAUCAGCUAAGGCUGCUGGACCACCUUACAGCCAAACCAAGCUGGCAGCUCACUGGGACCGAAGCAAGGUAGUGCCCCUUCUUCUUCCUCCCGGAGUCCUGCUUCAUCUGCUGGUGGAUUCGGCAGUGCUGGGGUAACAGUUGGACUCAGAGGUCUUUACCCUCCUAAAUGAUUCUAUGAUGCCCCACUCUCCUCGACCUCCAGCCAUGCCCCAUUCCUCCCACCCCUGCUGGGACUCAUCUAGUUGCCCCAUAAUUUGCUUUGACUCCUAAACCUGCCCACCUCUCUUUGGCCCAGUUGGUUCAGUAAUUGCACGAAACACAACGUGCUCAUGGAGGGAUCAGGCAGCCAGAGCCAGCCCGGCACAGCAGGAGCCCGAUUCCUCUGCUGCUCAUUCAGUUCAUACCAGAGGGAGCAGAGGGACCUCAGCCCCUGAGGCAAAGACCCGUGGCAGCUCCACCUCUGGAAGGAAAAUCCUGCGCAUCUGUGCCCGGCUGACACUGACCCGUUCUCGGCAGCUCCGGCUUCGUUUCCUACUCAACUCCCCCACUUCUUCCUCCAGAGGGAGGAACGGAAGGGAGCGCGGGGAUGCUCCACCCAGAGCAGGGGAUGCUGCGGUGCCAGCCAGCGCAGCCUGUGUGGUCCCAGCCCGAGCCAGGGGGAUUUCGGCAGGGAAGCCCCUGGCAGUUCCUUCACCAGCCGGAUCCUCUUCAGGGAAGCUGCCAAGAGCCCAAUUAACACACCUACCCCAUAAAAGCAGGAGUGGUGCUGCGCUGAGGGAAACAAUCGACCACGCACUAAAGGGCUUUGCUGAAUGGACUUGAUUCAGCGCUUACGCCUUAAAGCUGAGCACAUGCCUUACUGAAUGGGGACAGGCACGUUUGGGGGCCUGCUGACCUGUCACCCAACAUCAGCAUCUUCAAAAGGAACAGAUCUUGGCACAAACAGCUCUUUCUUUCAGGAAAAUGAAAAGGGGGGG